UCAAGUGAAUAAGAGCAUAAGGCGGAUGCCUUGGCACUGGGAGCCGAUGAAGGACGUGACAAGCUGCGAUAAGCUACGGGGAGGAGCACAUAUCCGUCAAUCCGUAGAUUUCCGAAUGGGGGAACCCACCUAUAGUAAUGUGUAGGUAUUUUCGUAUGAAUCUAUAGUACGAAUAAAGGCAACCCGGGGAACUGAAACAUCUAAGUACCCGGAGGAAGAGAAAGAAAAAUCGAUUUCCUAAGUAGCGGCGAGCGAAAGGGAAAGAGGCCAAACCGUUAGUUUACUAACGGGGUUGUGGAUCACAGCCGUGGUAGAUACAAGUUUAGCAGAAGACAACUGGAAAGUUUGCGACACAGAGGGUAAUAUCCCCGUAUGCGAAAAAUGAGUAUCACCUAUGUGACACCAGAGUAGGACCGAACACGUGGAAUUCGGUUUGAAGCCGGGGGGCCCACCCCCCAAGCCUAAAUACUACCCAGUGACCGAUAGUGAAUAGUACCGUGAGGGAAAGGUGAAAAGGACCCCGGGAGGGGAGUGAAAUAGAACCUGAAACCUUAUGCUUACAAGCAGAGGGAGCGCAAGUGACCUCGUACUUUUUGUAGAACGGGCCAACGAGUUAUGGUAUGCAGCGAGGUUAAGGUGCUGGAGCACUGGAGCCGUAGAGAAAUCGAGUCUGAAAGGGCGAAAGUUGCAUGCUGUAGACCCGAAACCGGGUGAUCUAUCCAUGUCCAGGUUGAAGUAACUGUAAUAGGUUAUGGAGGACCGAACUUAUAUCUGUUGAAAAAGGUUAGGAUGAGGUGUGGAUAGGGGUGAAAUUCCAAUCGAACUCGGAUAUAGCUGGUUCUCCUCGAAAUAGCUUUAGGGCUAGCCUCGUAGUAAGAUACCUGGGGGUAGAGCACUGAAUGUUCUAGGGGCCUUCACCGGUUACCGAAAACUAUCAAACUCCGAAUACCAGAGUAUCAUCUACGGGAGUCAGACUAUGUGAGAUAAGUUUCAUAGUCGAAAGGGAAACAGCCCAGACCGUCAGCUAAGGUCCCAAAAUAUAGGUUAAGUGGAAAAGGAUGUGGGGUUGCACAGACAGCUAGGAUGUUGGCUUAGAAGCAGCCAUUCAUUCAAAGAGUGCGUAAUAGCUCACUAGUCGAGUGACCCUGCGCCGAAGAUAAACGGGGCUAAAACCUAUUACCGAAGCUACGGAUACUUAAUGUAUGGUAGAGGAGCGUCGUAUACGGGUUGAAGCAGUACUGUAAGGUAUUGUGGACUUUAUACGAGAGAGAAUGUUGGCAUGAGUAGCGCGAGGCAGGUGAGAAUCCUGCCCACCGAAAAUCUAAGGUUUCCUGAGGAAGGUUCGUCCACUCAGGGUUAGUCGGGGCCUAAGCCGAGGGCGAAAGCCAUAGGCGAUGGAUAACAGGUAGAAAUUCCUGUACCACCGAAGGUUGUUUGAAUGAUGUGGGGACACAGGAGGAUAAGCUGAGCACGCCGUUGGUAGAGCGUGUCCAAGCGUCAAGGGAGUAUGAAUAGGCAAAUCCGUUCAUAUAUAUUCUGAGGCGUGAUGGGGUGGUCAAUAGACCGGAAGCAGCUGAUUUCACACUGUCAAGAAAAGCCGCUAAUUAGACCUAAGGUGCCCGUACCGCAAACCGACACAGGUAGAUGAGGAGAGAAUCCUAAGGUGAGCGAGAGAACUAUUGUUAAGGAACUCGGCAAAAUAACCCCGUAACUUCGGGAGAAGGGGUGCCUGCUUCGGCAGGCCGCAGUGAAAAGGCCCAGGCAACUGUUUACCAAAAACACAGGUCUCUGCAAAAGCGAAAGCUGAAGUAUAGGGGCUGACGCCUGCCCGGUGCUGGAAGGUUAAGGGGACGUGUCAUCGCAAGAGAAGCACUGAACUUAAGCCCCAGUAAACGGCGGCCGUAACUAUAACGGUCCUAAGGUAGCGAAAUUCCUUGUCGGGUAAGUUCCGACCCGCACGAAAGGCGUAAUGAGAUAGGUGGGAGACUAUGAAGCAAGUACGCCAGUAUUUGCGGAGUCAUCGUUGGGAUACCACCCUUGUAACGCUGGAAUUCUAACCAUGUACCGUGAACCGGUGCUGAGACAGUGUCAGGUGGGCAGUUUGACUGGGGCGGUCGCCUCCUAAAGAGUAACGGAGGCGCCCAAAGGUUCCCUCAGCGCGGUCGGAAAUCGCGCGUAGAGUGCAAAGGCAGAAGGGAGCUUGACUGCGAGACAUACAAGUCGGGCAGGGACGAAAGUCGGGCUUAGUGAUCCGGUGGUUCCGAGUGGAAGGGCCAUCGCUCAACGGAUAAAAGCUACCCCGGGGAUAACAGGCUGAUACCCCCCAAGAGUUCACAUCGACGGGGGUGUUUGGCACCUCGAUGUCGGCUCGUCUCAUCCUGGGGCUGGAGUAGGUCCCAAGGGUUGGGCUGUUCGCCCAUUAAAGAGGUACGCGAGCUGGGUUCAGAACGUCGUGAGACAGUUCGGUCCCUAUCCGCUGUGGGCGUUGGAAAUUUGAG
rnacentral:rRNA from 1 species